UGGGGAAUAUUGCACAAUGGAGGGAACUCUGAUGCAGCGACGCCGCGUGAACGAAGAAGGCUUUCGAGUCGUAAAGUUCUUUUAUAUGGGAAGAUAAUGACGGUACCAUAUGAAGAAGCCCCGGCUAACUACGUGCCAGCAGCCGCGGUAAUACGUAGGGGGCUAGCGUUGUCCGGAAUCACUGGGCGUAAAGGGUUCGCAGGCGGAAAUGCAAGUCAGGUGUAAAAGGCAGUAGCUUAACUACUGUAAGCAUUUGAAACUGCAUAUCUUGAGAAGAGUAGAGGUAAGUGGAAUUUUUAGUGUAGCGGUGAAAUGCGUAGAUAUUAAAAAGAAUACCGGUGGCGAAGGCGACUUACUGGGCUCAUUCUGACGCUGAGGAACGAAAGCGUGGGUAGCAAACAGG
rnacentral:rRNA from 1 species